rnacentral:lncRNA from 1 species
AGUGCUCACACAGCCACUUCCAUGACCUAAUUCUUCAGGGAUUCUUAAAAUGCCAUCAUUGCCAAGGCUCCCAAUAGGAUGAAGGGUAUGUUUUGUGGUGUGGCAGAGUUGCCAAGAUAAAGUUGAGGUUCAGAAGAGUUAGGUGCCAUGUAUGAAAGUGUUCGGGACUCUUUGCCAAGCUCUUUUGUUUUUAUAUGUAUACAUGCCUGCGAUACUUUGUCUAAUUAGGAUCUAGAACUAUGUGAGUAAAUACAGAAGAGCUUUAGCAAUAAUGAAGCAUUGAUUGGCAACUUUAAUUUUUUUUUUACUCAGACUAAAGGAUCAUCCCACAACUAAUAACUGUCUCAGUCAAUGAAAUGUGGUGACAUCAACAGAGGUAGCAGAGUUCCGAACCUUAAAGAUGGUUAAGUCCUAAUAAAUACAUCACCUCACUCUCUCCCUCAGAAUUCAUGCCCACAACAGACAUGGCAGACGAUCCUGUGAUUCUCUACCAUUCACAUGGCAGCAAUAGUGGUCAUGCAGAAUAGACACUGGAGUAUACUUAUUCUUCACAAAGACGUCACAAUGUCGGGAGCACCUGGAUUCUGUCGUGACAAUGGUUCGUGUUCAGUUU